AUGGUUGCAAAGCUGAAACUUAAAGGAAUUGACGGAAGGGCACCACCAGGAGUGGGGCCUGCGGCUUAAUUUGACUCAACACGGGGCAACUUACCCGGUCCGGACACUGGAAGGAUUGACAGAUUGACAGCACUUUCUUGAUUCGGUGGGUGGUGGUGCAUGGCCGUUCUUAGUUGGUGGAGUGAUUUGUCUGGUUAAUUCCGAUAACGAACGAGACUCUAGCCUGCUAACUAGUUCGCCGGUAGCCUGUUGCCGAGCGUAACCGGCAUCGCUUCGGCGCAUGCCAACUUCUUAGAGGGAAGGGUGGCUUCUAAGCCAUAAGAAUGAGAGCAAUAACAGGUCUGUGAUGCCCUUAGAUGUUCGGGGCCGCACGCGCGCCACACUGAAUGAAUCAAUAGGGAUACCAACCUGCUCCGUGAGGAGUGGGAGACCCUGCGAAUCUCAUUCGUGAUGGGGAUUGGGGCUUGGAAUUGUUCCCCAUGAACGAGGAAUUCCCAGUAAGCGCCAGUCAUCAGCUGGCGUUGAUUACGUCCCUGCCCUUUGUACACACCGCCCGUCGCUACUACCGAUUGAAUGGUUUAGUGAGGCCAGUGGACUUCUCGACUGCUUGCGGUCAGGGCGGAAAGCUGGUCAAACUUGAUCACUUAGAGGAAGUAAAAGUCGUAACAAGGUUUCC
rnacentral:rRNA from 1 species